GAGUUUGAUCCUGGCUCAGGAUGAACGCUAGCGACAGGCUUAACACAUGCAAGUCGAGGGGCAGCGGUGGUGAAGGCUUGCCUUCACCAGCCGGCGACCGGCGCACGGGUGAGUAACACGUAUGCAACCUGCCUGCCACAGCCGGAUAAUCGGGAGAAAUCCCGUCUAAUACGGCAUAAUGCAUCGACGGGACAUCCUGUUGGUGCCAAAGGUUAAUUCCGGUGGCGGAUGGGCAUGCGUCGCAUUAGUUAGUUGGCGGUGUAACGGACCACCAAGACGACGAUGCGUAGGGGUUCUGAGAGGAAGGUCCCCCACACUGGUACUGAGACACGGACCAGACUCCUACGGGAGGCAGCAGUGAGGAAUAUUGGUCAAUGGGCGGGAGCCUGAACCAGCCAAGUCGCGUGAGGGAUGACGGCCCUAUGGGUUGUAAACCUCUUUUGCCGGGGAGCAAAGUGCCGCACGUGUGCGGUUUGGAGAGUACCCGGAGAAAAAGCAUCGGCUAACUCCGUGCCAGCAGCCGCGGUAAUACGGAGGAUGCGAGCGUUAUCCGGAUUUAUUGGGUUUAAAGGGUGCGUAGGCGGACGCUUAAGUCAGCGGUAAAAUUGCGGGGCUCAACCUCGUCGAGCCGUUGAAACUGGGUGCCUUGAGUGGGCGAGAAGUACGCGGAAUGCGUGGUGUAG
rnacentral:rRNA from 1 species